UGCCAUCACUGCAGGAUCACUGCAUUCACCUACAUUGGCACUGCAUAGUACAACACAGCACAAUGCCUCCACAUUGUGGGACACUGCAUCCACUGCAUGAGCACUGCAUCCACAUUCCAGAGCAAUGCAGGUGGCAUUGAAACCACUGCAGGGACACUGCAUCCAGCUGAAGUAUCAAUGAAGGCGUACUGCAAUCACUGCCAGCUCACUGCAUCCACUCUAGGGCUCUGCAUCCUCUGUCACAACAUACGGAAAACAACUUUUGUUACUCUGCAUCCACUGCAUGGGCACUGUAUCCACAUUCAGGGACACCUGAUGGGGCACUGCAACCACUGCAGCAUCACUGCAUCCACCUUCAUGGGCCCUGCAUCCUCCCUCACAACAUACAGCAUUCACCAGGUGGGACACUGCAUCGACUGCAUGACGACUGCAUCCACAUUCCUGGACAAUGCGUGGGGCACUGCAAGCACUGCAGGCACACUGCAUACAGCUGAAUUCGCACUGCAGGUGCACUGCAUUCAGCCCAGGCUGACUGCAUCCACCUUCCUGGGUACUGCAUGUUCCAUCACAACAUACGACAUCCACCUUGAGGGACAGUGCAACUACUGCAUGCACACUGCAUCCACAUUCAGGGAUCUGAGGGGGCACUGCAACCACUGCAGCAUCACUGCAUCCAACUUCAUGUGCCCUGCAUCCUCCAUCAUAAGAUACUGCAUCCACCUUGUGGGACACUACAUCUACUGCCUGGGCACUGCAUAGACAUUGCCAGACAAAGCCGGGGCACUGUAAGCACUGCAGGGACACUGCAUCCACCGUCAUGAGAACUGCAUCAUCCAUCAUAACACACUGCAUCCACUGCCUGGGCACUGCAUCCACAUUCCAAGAAAAUGCAGGGGACACUGCAACCAUGGCAGCAACACUGCAUCUAGUUGAAGUGGCACUGCAGGCGCACUGCCAUCACUGCAGGAUCACUGCAUUCACCUUCAUCGGCACUGAAUACUACAACACACCACAAUGCCUCCACAUUGUGGGACACUGCAACCACUGCAUGAGCACUACAUCCACAUUCUAGGAAAAUCAGGGGGCAUUGGAAUAACUUCAGGGACCGUGCAUCCAGUUGAAGUGGCCCUG
rnacentral:lncRNA from 1 species